rnacentral:rRNA from 1 species
UACGUAGGGUGCGAGCGUUGUCCGGAAUUAUUGGGCGUAAAGAGCUCGUAGGCGGCGUGUCACGUCGGAUGUGAAAGCCCGGGGCUCAACUCCGGGCCUGCAGCCGAUACGGGCAGACUAGAGUUCGGCAGGGGAGACUGGAAUUCCUGGUGUAGCGGUGAAAUGCGCAGAUAUCAGGAGGAACACCCGGGUGGCGAAGGCGGCAUCCUGGACCGACACU